AACGCAUAUUGCGCUCGAGACCUCGGUCAAGAGCAUGUCUGGCUCAGCGUCGUUUCACCCUCUCGCCACCUUUUCCCUCUUUUCGAAGAGCGGUCCAGGAAGGCGGACCUGGCUUUCCCCGUGACUCUCACGACGAACGGGGUCGGCUGAAGAACAGAGGCUUGAGCAUGGCGCCGCACAAUGGCAGCCGGCUUGGUAGGUGGCUCACGCUACAUGCCGCCGGAGGCCGCAGCGCCAUGUUGUAAGGCCCGCAGGAACCGACCCUACAAGGUCGGACACUCAUCCAUCGACCUGAGCUCAGGCAAGACUACCCGCUGAACUUAA
rnacentral:misc_RNA from 2 species